rnacentral:lncRNA from 1 species
UCCAUUUAAUUUGUAGGAUUAUUUGUGCAUUUUGCCAUGCCAUGCUUCAUUAAACCGGACAUGCAUCAUACUUGGUUGUGCAUCAUGCCAUGUUGAUGUGAUGGUUGUUUACUAUGUUGUUUGCUCCUUUCCGGUAUUGCUUUGCGGGUUGGUUCCGAUAACGUCGCGUUUGUGAGGAUUCGUUCGACUUCGUCUGUUUGUCUUCUUCAUGGACUCGUUCUUCUUCCUUGCGGGAUCUCAGGCAAGAUGACCAUACCCUCGAAAUCACUUCUAUCUUUGCUUGCUAGUUGCUCGCUCUUUUGCUAUGCCUAUACUGCGAUACCUACCACUUGCUUAUCAUGCCUCCCAUUUUGCCAUGUCAAACCUCUAACCCACCUUGUCCUAGCAAACCGUUGUUUGGCUAUGUUACCGCUUUGCUCAGUCCCUCUUAUAGCGUUGCUAGUUGCAGGUGAAGAUUGGAGUUUGUUCCUUGUUGGAGCAUGAUUAUUGUUGGGAUAUCACAAUAUCUCUUAUUUAAUUAAUGCAUCUAUAUACUUGGUAAAGGGUGGAAGGCUCGGCCUUAUGCCUGGUAUUUUGUUCCACUCUUGCCGCCCUAGUUUCCAUCAUACCGGUGUUAUGUUCCUUGAUUUUGCGUUCCUUACGCGGUUGGGUUAUAAUGGGAACCCCUUGACAGUUCGCCUUGAAUAAAAAUCCUCCAGCAAGGCCCGACCUUGGUUUUACCAUUUGCCACCUAAGCCUUUUCCCUUGGGUUCUGCAGACUCAAGGGUCAUCUUUAUUUAAACCCGGGCCAGUGCUCCUAUGAGUGUUGGUCCAAACUAGAGCACCGUGCAGGGCCAUCCCUUGGCAACUUGUGUUACGUCGGCUCCUGUACGCUUAGCUUAUCCGGUGUGCCCUGAGAACGAGAUAUGUGCAGCUCCUAUCGGGAUUUGUCGACACAGCGGGUGGUCUUGCUGGUCUUGUUUUACCAUUGUCGAAAUGUCUUGUAACCGGGAUUCCGAGUCUGAUCGGGUCUUCCUGGGAGAAGGAAUAUCCUUCGUUGACCGUGAGAGCUUGUGAUGGGCUAAGUUGGGACACCCCUGCAGGGUUUUGAACUUUCGAAAGCCGUGCGCGCGGUUAUGGGCAGAUGGGAAUUUGUUAAUGUCCGGUUGUAGAAAACCUGAAGUUUAACUUAAUUAAAAUGGAUCAACCUUGUGUGUAGCCGUGAUGGUCUCUUUCCGGCGGAGUCCGGGAAGUGAACACGGUGUUGGAGUUAUGCUUGACAUAGGUUGUUCUAGGAUCACUUCUUGAUCAUAGUUUCUCGGCCGUGCUUUGCCUUUCUCUUCUCGCUCUCAUUUGCGUAAGUUAGCCACCAUAUAUGCUAGUGCUUGCUGCAGCUCCACCUCAUACCUUUUACCUUACCCAUAAGCUUAAAUAGUCUUGAUCACGAGGGUGUGAGAUUGCUGAGUCCCCAUGACUCACAAAUUACUUCAAAACCAGUUUGCAGGUGCCGAUGAUACCGUGCAGGUGACGCAACCGAGCUCAAGGAGGAGCUCGAUGAAGGUCGUGUUCGUUAUGUUGUUCCGUUUUUUAGUUGAUCAGUAGUGGAGCCCAGUUGGGACGAUCGGGGAUCUGUGUAGCAUUUGGGGUAGUCUUCUUUUUAUUUUGGUUCCGUAGUCGGACCUUGAAUGUAUCUGGAUGAUGUAAUGUUGUAUUCAUGUAUUGUGUGAAGUGGCGAUUGUAAGCCAACUAUGUAUCUUUUUCCCUUAUGUAUUACAUGGGUUGUGUGAAG